rnacentral:rRNA from 1 species
GUAGGUGGCAAGCGUUGUCCGGAAUUAUUGGGCGUAAAGCGCGCGCAGGUGGUUCUUUAAGUCUGAUGUGAAAGCCCCCGGCUCAACCGGGGAGGGUCAUUGGAAACUGGGGAACUUGAGUGCAGGAGAGGAAAGUGGAAUUCCACGUGUAGCGGGGAAAUGCGUAGAUAUGUGGAGGAACACCAGUGGCGAAGGCGACUUUCUGGCCUGUAACUGACACUGAGGCGCGAAAGCGUGGGGAGCAAACAGGGAUUAGAUACCCUGGUAGUCCACGCCGUAAACGAUGAGUGCUAAGUGUUGGGGGGGUUUCCCGCCCCGUCAGUGCUGCAGCUAACGCAUUAAGCACUCCGCCUGGGGAGUACGGUCGCAAGACUG